AAAGACUGCCUGCAUCCAUCCAUUUUCUCCUAAUAGAUCACAAUUAAGUUAAUAGAACACAAAAAUGGAAUGUUGAGGUAAGUGGACUCAGUUGUGCAUGAUUACACAAAUAUUAAAAUGGUUUAUAUUUUAACCAGAAUAAAGGCAUUGUUAAAUUCAUCAACUUUAUGCAAGCACACGCACAUAAUCUUUUCAUACAUAUGAAAUCCACUGAAGUCAGAAUUUCUUUCAUACAAGAGAUUCUAUACUCCAUCCAGCACAUCAUUCUAUAUCUCAAUUUUCAUAAUGAAUAAACCCACUGAUAAAAAUAUAAAUGUAGUAGUGUCAGCAUAAACUUGAAGUGACUAAUUCCUUCAUGCACCUAAUAGCAAUACAUUUUCAGGUUUGUGCAUCAAAUCUCAAUAACUACUUUCCACUACUCUCAAAAGAUUUCUACAAUACAGUACACUUCAAACUUCCUCCUUUAUCCAUAAUGAUUCUCCACUCCAUGAACUGUUUUUAUGAAGCAGCACAAAACCAAUAAAAAGGUAAAUUGAAUUCCUAUCAUAUCAGCAAAGUUUGAACUGAUUUGUUCAAGCCCUUCACCUGUUAAUACAAUUUCAGGUUUGUGCAUCAAAACCCAAUACCUACUGUCCACUACUAUCAAAAGGUGAGUGUACAGAGGUCUACAUUAGUUACAAUUUAAUUUACAAUUUAUCAAGCAGUUAAUGUCCCAUGAAUAUAUUUUCAGAUUUCUACAAUAUACUACACUUCAAACUUCAUUCUCCAUUAUGAUUCUCUGCUCCAUGAACUGUUUUUAUGAAGCAGCACAAAACCGAUUAAAAAGGUAAAUUCCAUUGUAUAAUCUGUGCAAAAUUGAAUUGACUCAUUUCUUUGAGCAGUAAUUUAAAACAAUCAUAUUCUUUCAGUUUUGUGCAGAACAAGUCAAUAACUACUGUCCACUACUCCCAAAAGGUGAGUGUGCAGAUGUCUACAUAAAGUGCUAAAUGAUCUAGUUGUGCAAACACUUGAAUUAUCAAGCAGUUCAUGUUCCAUGAAUAUAUUUUCAGAUUUCUGCAAUAUGCUACACUUCAAACUUCCUUAUCCAUAAUGAUUCUCCACUCCAUUAACUGUUUUUAUGAAGCAACACAAAACCAAUUAAAAAGGUAAAUUCCAUUGCAUGAUGUCUGCAAAUCUUGAAUUGACAUUUCUUCAAGCGCUGCUUCACCUAAUAGCAAUACAUUUUCAGGUUUGUGCAUCAAAACUCAAUACCUACUGUACACUACUCCCAAAAGGUGAGUGUACAGAUGUCUACAUAAAUUGUUAAAUGUUUUAGUUGUGGAAACAGUUUAAUUAUUGAGAAGUUAAUGUUACAUGAAUAUAUUUUCAGAUUUCUGC
ensembl:lncRNA